UUAUUAAUAGAUCAAGACAACACCGGAUAUGCUGGCGAUGACUCUAGUAGUGAUGAUGAAUCUUCGUCAUUGAAUGCAAAUAAAUCACUCGGACACAACUAUAUGAGUCAGGAUGAAUCAUAUAGUGGUAAUGUGCAUGCUAAUGAUGACAAUGACGAUUAUGACAGCGAUGAUCAAUCUUAUGCUGAAAGUGGAACCCAGAGAAAUACCGAUGGUGACGCUGAGACGAGAACCUUACAUGAUGACAAUGAUGA